GACGAACGCUGGCGGCGUGCUUAACACAUGCCAGUCGAACGGGAAGGCCCUGCUUUUGUGGGGUGCUCGAGUGGCGAACGGGUGAGUAACACGUGAGUAACCUGCCCUUGACUUUGGGAUAACUUCAGGAAACUGGGGCUAAUAACGGAUAGGAGCUCCUGCUGCAUGGUGGGGGUUGGAAAGUUUCGGUGGUGGGGGAUGGACUCGGGGGUUAUUUGCUUGUUGGUGGGGUAGUGGCUUACCUAGGCUUUGACGGGUUGCGCGCCUGAGAGGGUGACCGGCCACAUUGGGACUGUGAUGCGGCCCAGACUCCUACGGGGGGCAGCAGGGGGGAAUGGUGCACGAUGGGCGGAAGCCUGAUGCAGCAACGCCGCGUGCGGGAUGACGGCCUUCGGGUUGUAAACCGCUUUCGCCUGUGACGAAGCGUGAGUGACGGUAAUGGGUAAAGAAGCACCGGCUAACUACGUG
rnacentral:rRNA from 1 species